AGUGAACGCUGGCGGCGUGCUGAACACAUGCAAGUCGAACGAGAACGGGAUAUAGCUUGCUAUAUUUGUCAGCUAAGUGGCGCACGGGUGAGUAAUGUAUAGAUAACCUGCCCUCUAGAAAGGAAUAACAGUUGGAAACGACUGCUAAUGCCCUAUAUGCCUUUAAUACAUAAGUAUGCAAGGGAAACGCUUUAGUGCUAGAGGAUGGGUCUGUAUGGUAUCAGCUUGUUGGUGAGGUAAUGGCUCACCAAGGCUAUGACGCCUAACUGGUUUGAGGGGAUGAUCAGUCACACUGGAACUGAGACACGGUCCAGACUCCUACGGGAGGCAGCAGUGGGGAAUAUUGCACAAUGGACGAAAGUCUGAUGCAGCAACGCCGCGUGGAGGAUGACACAUUUCGGUGCGUAAACUCCUUUUAUAUAGGAAGAUAAUGACGGUACUAUAUGAAUAAGCACCGGCUAACUCCGUGCCAGCAGCCGCGGUAAAAC
rnacentral:rRNA from 1 species